AUUGAACGCUGGCGGCAGGCCUAACACAUGCAAGUCGAGCGGAGCGGGGGACGGGUGAGUAAGGCCUAGGAAGCUGCCUGGUAGUGGGGGAUAACGUACGGAAACGGGCGCUAAUACCGCAUACUUUAAGAUGAACCUAGGUCGGAUUAGCUAGUUGGUGGGGUAAAGGCCUACCAAGGCGACGAUCCGUAGCUGGUCUGAGAGGAUGAUCAGUCACACUGGAACUGAGACACGGUCCAGACUCCUACGGGAGGCAGCAGUGGGGAAUAUUGGACAAUGGGCGAAAGCCUGAUCCAGCCAUGCCGCGUGUGUGAAGAAGGUCUUCGGAUUGUAAAGCACUUUAAGUUGGGAGGCGUUACCAACAGAAUAAGCACCGGCUAACUUCGUGCCGGCCGCCGCGGUAAUAC
rnacentral:rRNA from 1 species